AGGAAAGGUCAUGUGAAGAUACAGUGAGAUGGUGGAAGCCAAGGAAAAAGACCUGGGAAGAAACCAAACAUAUAGACACCUUGACCUUGGACUUCUGGCCUUCAGAACAAUGGAAAAUUAAUUGCUAUUGUUUACUUUGCUUUUGUUUUUUCACUCUUUAGUAUUUGUUAUAGUAGCCCUAGAAACCAAUGUGAUACAAAGAUCUUCAUAGUCAUGCCCAUUUCUACAUAUUCACCCAAAUGCUUAAUCAUUAGACUUCUUUUUUCUUGAUUUUCCAAUCUUUCUCACUCAAGGCUUCUAAUCAAGCUACCGAAUAACUUAUCAUUAUCCACAAUUCUGAAUGUAUCCUAACUUGAGGAUACUUCUCUUUCUAUCAGAAUUGCAUUAUGUCCCUGCCAAACCUCCCCUGUUGGGAGGAUUUCUCCUAACCACUAUCUCUUAGGGUCGCUACUAUGUGGUAUGUUCUGCCUGUAUUUUUUCACCUACCAAACUAAUUUCAUCUAUUAAUUGGUCAUAAGAGCAAAUGUGGUACUAGAGAUAAGCUGAGUGAGAUACCAAGGGGUUUGUGCCAUGCCACCUGCUCAUGCAGCUUCCUUAGGUCCUCUAGUCUUGUGUCUUACCCUGAAUGUAUCAAUUCUAUCUUGUUGGUAGACUGCUUCUGAACCUACUUACUUUAUGACUUGGUAGUUCUGAUAAACCAUGAUGGAUUGUACUGUUGUUGUGGUUGAUGUUCUAUAGUCAGGCACUCCAACUCUACCCUGGC
rnacentral:lncRNA from 1 species